AACCAUAGAAACCUGCGGAGUACCUGCGGAGGGAUCAUUACCGAGUUUACAAACUCCCAACCCUAUGUGAACCUUACCAAUCGUUGCUUCGGCGGGCUUAGCCCCCGCGCCCUCGCCGGCGCCGGGAGAAAGGCGCCCGCCGGGGACCCCAAACCCAAUGUUUUUCAUGCAGUAUUUCUGAGUGGCAAACGCAAAAAUAAAUCAAAACUUUUAACAAUGGAUCUCAGAUCGGAAGAGCAC
rnacentral:misc_RNA from 1 species